CCUACGGGUGGCAGCAGUGAGGAAUAUUGGUCAAUGGCCGGAAGGCUGAACCAGCCAAGCCGCGUGAAGGACGAAGGUUCCAAGCAUUGUAAACUUCUUUUGUCAAGGGACAAAAUCAGGCUCGAGAGCCUUACCGACGGUACUUGUAGAAAAAGCAUCGGCUAACUCCGUGCCAGCAGCCGCGGUAAUACGGAGGAUGAGAGCUUUAUCCCGAUUUAUUGGGGUUAAAGGGUUGGUGGGCGGGCUGUUAAGUCAGCGGUAAAAGCCGGGGGCUAAACACAGGCGAGCCGUUGAAACUGGCUGUCUUGAGAUGGCGAGAGGUAUGCGGAAUGCGCGGUGUAGCGGUGAAAUGCUUAGAUAUUACGCAGAACUCCGAUUGCGAAGGCAGCAUGCCGGUAGCGAUCUGACGCUGAGGCACGAAAGCGUGGGGAUCGAACAGGAUUAGAUACCCUUGUAGUC
rnacentral:rRNA from 1 species